CAAGUCGAACGCCCUUAGCAAUAAGGGAGUGGCGGACGGGUGAGGAACCCGUGGGUACCUACCCCACAGUGAGGAAUACCGGCGAGAAAUCGCCGACAAUACCGCAUACGCCUGGUCUUUCGAGACCAAGCAAAGCCCGCAAGGGCGCUAUGGGAUGGGCCUGCGACUGAUUAGCUAGUUGGGGGGGUAAAAGCCUCCCAAGGCGACGAUCAGUAGCUGGUCUGAGAGGACGAUCAGCCACACUGGGAUUGAGAACGGCCCAGACUCCUACGGGGGGCAGCAGUGAGGAAUUUUCGGCAAUGGGGGCAACCCUGACCGAGCAACGCCGCGUGCAGGAUGACGGCCUUCGGGUUGUAAACUGCUUUUCUCUGGGACGAGAACGGACGGUACCAGAGGAAUCAGCCUCGGCUAACUACGUGCCAGCAGCCGCGGUAAUACGUAGGAGGCAAGCGUUGUCCGGAGUUACUGGGCGUAAAGGGCCUGUAGGCGGUGCGUUACGUUUGGAGUGACAGUGCGUGGCUUAACCACGCAAGGCCUUCGAACACGGACGCACUUGAGGGCUUCAGAGGGAGGCGGAAUUCCGGGUGGAGCGGUGAAAUGCGUAGAGAUCCGGAGGAACACCAACGGCGAAGGCAGCCUCCUGGGAAGUUCCUGACGCUGAGGGGCGAAAGCUAGGGGAGCGAACAGGAUUAGAUACCCUGGUAGUCCUAGCGGUAAACGAUGACCACUAGACGCAGGAGGAUCGACCCCUUCUGUGUCGCAGCUAACGCGAUAAGUGGUCCGCCUGGGGAGUACGGUCGCAAGAUUAAAACUCAAAGGAAUUGACGGGGACCCGCACAAGCAGUGGAGCGUGUGGUUU
rnacentral:rRNA from 1 species